AUGGACCCAAGUGGAUCUGUGCAGAAGCAGAUUGAACAGGAGACUCGAGUUAAAAUCAUUUUCCCAUCUGCAAAGGAGGAAACACUUGUUGCCCUCGAAGGCAAAAGUGCUGAAAGUAUUAGAAAAGCAUCAGAGAGGAUUUCAAAGAUCCUUGGAGAGGCUGUUCAAAGUCCAAUGCUAGAUUACUCGCAUUUCAUAUCACUUCCGUUGGCCAUCCACCCGGCUCUUGUCGAGAAGCUAAAUAACUUCCAGAGGUCGAUCCUCAGGGCGUCUGCAUCUAAUGUGGAUAGUGAUAAGGAUGAAAGCCUAAGCGAAGGUUCUAUGGAAGAAAUUGAUGAAGCAGCGAACCCUAGUGUUUCAGUCAAGCUGCCAGUCAAAGAAGAAAAUUCUGUCAUAGUGAAAAUGGAUAAUAAGGGCUCCCAACCAGAGUUCAGCAUUGACAAGUCGAUAUUCAUAAAACCCAAAAUGUUUCACCUAACGGUUCUUAUGUUGAAGUUGUGGAACAAGGAUCGUAUUUCUCAGGCUUCUGAAGUCCUCCAGUCAAUAUCUUCCCAGGUAAAUGAAGCUUUGGAAAACCGACCUAUCUCUAUACAACUUAAGGGUCUGACAUGCAUGAAAGGCUCACCAGCUAGGGCCCGUGUUGUAUAUGCUCCAGUACUUGAAAUUGGUGCUGCUGGCAACUCUGGAAGCAUCGAAAUUCAGUCGUCUUUCAACGCCAACAGCCGUCGGUGGAUCGGGUGCUCGCCUGUUGCAGAGACGAUGCUGUGCUGUGGCGUUGCAAGCUGCCUGCGGACAGUAGAACCCACAUUGACUCAUGGCUUCAUGCCUUCCUUCCCUGACCUGAUUAUUGUUUAG
rnacentral:rRNA from 1 species